rfam:Mesocestoides corti genome assembly, scaffold: MCOS_scaffold0000359
AUUAACUGCGACGACUAAUUUUUGGUUGUGUAGGAAUGGUAGUUGGCGCAAUGUGUGCAAUCACCGGUGUGCUAACGAUCUCCUUGCCUGUUCCAGUGAUCGUCUCGAAU